GAUAACUUGCCAGAGUGGUUAAUGGGUAACAUUGCUAUAGAUCCGCGCUUCGUCUUCCCGCUUGGUAAAUCAGGUUGAGCGGUGAAAUCAUAUGUUAUGUCUACUAGACGCGAGAGUUCGAACCUCUCAGUUAUCA